rnacentral:rRNA from 1 species
CUAGCGACUUCAGAGUUUGAUCCUGGCUCAGGACGAACGCUGGCGGCGUGCUUAACACAUGCAAGUCGAGCGGGGAUAGAAUUGGAAGUUCUUCGGGAUGGAAGAUUCUAUUCCAGCGGCGGACGGGUGAGUAACGCGUGAACAAUCUGUCCCAGACAGGGGGAUAACACUUGGAAACAGGUGCUAAUACCGCAUAAGACCACGUUUUCGCAUGGGAAUGAGGUAAAAGGAGCAAUCCGGUUUGGGGUGAGUUCGCGUCCGAUUAGCUAGUUGGCGAGGUAACGGCCCACCAAGGCGACGAUCGGUAGCCGACCUGAGAGGGUGAUCGGCCACAUUGGAACUGAGAGACGGUCCAA